rnacentral:tRNA from 1 species
GGCUCUGUGGCGCAAUGGAUAGUGCAUUGGACUUCUAGGCUGUGAGCUGAGCCAUUCAAAGGUUGUGGGUUCAAGUCCCACCAGAGUCG